rnacentral:rRNA from 1 species
GACGAACGCUGGCGGCGUGCCUAAUACAUGCAAGUAGAACGCAGUUGCGAACGGGUGAGUAACGCGUAGGUAACUGCCUGGUAGCGGGGGAUAACAAUUGGAAACGAUAGCUAAUACCGCAUACUACCAGAUGGACCUGAGUUGUAUUAGUUAGUUGGUGGGGUAACGGCGCACCAAGGCAACGAUACAUAGCCGACCUGAGAGGGUGAUCGGCCACAAUGGGAAGUAGACACGGCCCAGACUCCGACGGGAGGCAGCAGUAGGGAAUCUUCGGCAAUGGACGGAAGUCUGACCGAGCAACGCCGCGUGAUUGAAGAAGGUUUUCGGAUCGUAAAGCUCUGUUGUAAGAGAAGCGGUAUCUUACCAGAAAGGGACGGCUAACUACGUGCCAGCAGCCGCGGUAAUUC